AGUGUGGUGGCCGAGUGGUUAAAGCGUUGGACUUUAAGUUCCAAUGGACAUUAGUCCUCGUGGGUUCAAAUCCCACCCGCACUA